rnacentral:rRNA from 1 species
CAAUAGCGUAUAUUAAAGCUGUUGCGGUUAAAAAGCUCGUAGUUGGAUUUCUGUCAAGGACAACUGGUCCGCCCUCCGGGUGAGCACAUAGUUUGGUCUUGGCAUCUUGCUGGAAGCUGUUGCUGCACUUGGCUGUGUGGCGCAGCGUCCAGCACUUUCACUUUGAGGAAAUUGGAGUGUUUCAAGCAGGCACAUGCCUUUGGACACAGUAGCAUGGAAUAAUUAGAUUGGGCUUUUGCUCCAAUUUGUCGGUUUCUGGAGCUGAGGUGAGAAUUAAUGGGGAUUGUUGGGGGCAUCCGAAUUCAGCCGUCAGAGGUGAAAUUCUUGGAUCUGCUAAAGACGGACAACUGCGAAAGCGUUUGCCCAGGAUGUUUUCAUUGA